GACGAACGCUGGCGGCGUGCUUAACACAUGCAAGUCGAGCGGUAAGGCCCUUUCGGGGGUACGACGAGCGGCGAACGGGUGAGUAACACGUGGGUGACCUGUCCUCAGCUCUGGGAUAAGCCCGGGAAACUGGGUCUAAUACUGGAUAUGACUCCACGGUGCAUGCCGUGGGGUGGAAAGCCUUGUGCGGGCUGAGGAUGGGCCCGCGGCCUAUCAGCUUGUUGGUGGG
rnacentral:rRNA from 1 species